AAUGAACGCUGGCGGCAUGCCUAACACAUGCAAGUCGAACGAGACCUUCGGGUCUAGUGGCGCACGGGUGCGUAACGCGUGGGAAUCUACCCUUGGGUUCGGAAUAACAGUUAGAAAUGACUGCUAAUACCGGAUGAUGACGUAAGUCCAAAGAUUUAUCGCCCAGGGAUGAGCCCGCGUAGGAUUAGCUAGUUGGUGUGGUAAAGGCGCACCAAGGCGACGAUCCUUAGCUGGUCUGAGAGGAUGAUCAGCCACACUGGGACUGAGACACGGCCCAGACUCCUACGGGAGGCAGCAGUGGGGAAUAUUGGACAAUGGGCGAAAGCCUGAUCCAGCAAUGCCGCGUGAGUGAUGAAGGCCUUAGGGUUGUAAAGCUCUUUUACCCGGGAUGAUAAUGACA
rnacentral:rRNA from 1 species